GACGAACGCUGGCGGCGUGCUUAACACAUGCAAGUCGAACGAAAGGGCCCCUUUCGGGGGUUACUGAUGUGAGGAGCGGGUGGGUAACUCGUAAGUAACUUGCCCUCGUCUUUGGCUUAGCUUAAGGAAACUGGGCCUAGUACCGAACGGGUGAUCUUUUGGACCGCAGGGGUUAGAAAAGUUUCGCGGGCUGGGUGUGGCUUCGCGGUUUAUCAGCUUGUUGUUGGGGAAGUGGCUAGCCAAGGCUUUGACGGGUAGCCGGCCUGUGAGGGUGACCGGCCACAUUGGGACUGAGAUACGGCCCAGACUCCUACGGGAGGCAGCAGUGGGGAAUAUUGCACAAUGGGUGGAAGCCUGAUGCAGCAACGCCGUGUGCGGGAUGACGGCCUUCGUGUUGUAAACCGCUUUCGCUCAUGACGAAGCUUUGUGUGACGGUAGUGGGUAAAGAAGCACCGGCUAACUACGUG
rnacentral:rRNA from 1 species